UUUUAUUCACACAUAUUCUCAAAACUUGUUCCUCUGAGAAGAGGCUUCAUUCCUAUUGGGGCUCACACCAAGUCCAUGCCUGCAGUUCUCUUUCCUCUGUCUUCAGGCAAGCACUGAGCGAGGUGACAGCAGCAUUGCGGGAGCGCCUGCACCGCUGGCAACAGAUCGAGAUCCUCUGUGGCUUCCAGAUUGUCAACAACCCUGGCAUCCACUCACUGGUGGCUGCCCUCAACAUAGACCCCAGCUGGAUGGGCAGUACACGCCCCAACCCUGCUCACUUCAUCAUGACUGACGACGUGGAUGACAUGGAUGAGGAGAUUGUGUCUCCCUUGUCCAUGCAGUCCCCUAGCCUGCAGAGCAGUGUUCGGCAGCGCCUGACGGAGCCACAGCAUGGCCUGGGAUCUCAGAGGGAUUUGACCCAUUCCGAUUCGGAGUCCUCCCUCCACAUGAGUGACCGCCAGCGUGUGGCCCCCAAACCUCCUCAGAUGAGCCGUGCUGCAGACGAGGCUCUCAAUGCCAUGACUUCCAAUGGCAGCCACCGGCUGAUCGAGGGGGUCCACC
rnacentral:sRNA from 1 species